rnacentral:lncRNA from 1 species
GAAAGUGCCUGACUUUCGGAUCAGUGGGAGCUUUCGGCCGCCGAAUGUGCUGCCGAAGGUGCCCUGUCCAGCCUUCCUUUGCCUGUUUUGCAUGCAUGUUUUGAGGUGUUUUAGAGGGAUUUUUGGGGAGAUGUUUAGUGUUAUGUUAGAGUUGUUUGGUCCCUCAUUUGAGUCCACCUGUGUAGGAUCGGACUUGAGGAACCGAGGUGGUCAGCAGUGUUAGCUGUUUCAGAGUUAGCUCAGAGCUAGUCAGAGGUGAGUAGAACUGAACCUUAUCUUUUUGUUAAAUUUAAACCAAAUGAUUUAAGCAUGUUCAUGCAUCACGAAUACCAGGUUAUGUAAUAGGUUGUUUGCAUUAGAAUUCACGAAUAUGAUGCAUUGCAUAAUAUGAUGAUGAUGAUGUGGAUGAAUAUUGAAUGAUCCUCUAGCCCUCAGUACGAUAUGAUAUGAUAUGAUAUGACAUGGUAUGACAUGAGAUGGAAAGACCAGGUGUGGCCUAAUCGCCCUUGGCAAUAUAUGAUAUGACAGGGAAGAUCAGGUGUGGCCUAAUCGCCCCUGGCAUAGUUGGACAUGUUAUGAUAUGAGUUAUGUAAGAAAAGGUCAGGCGUGGCCUUAUCGCCCCUGGCACAGUUGGACAUGUUACGAUUUGUGGAGGGCUAUUGGUGACAAGUUCAUCCUUGAUGUGAUAUGUUUGUGAUGUGAUGCAUUUCAUGAAAGCAUAUGUUCAAAUGAUUUUUAUUAUCGUUCUGCUCACUGGACUUUAUAGCUCACCCCUCUCCCCUAACCCCAGGUUUGCAGGGUCAGAGAUAGUUCAGGAAGUCAACAGGAUAUGGCUAUGGUUAUGAUAUGUAAUAGAAUAGUAGUGGACAUGAUGUAAUGUAAGGUUAUGUAAUGAUGUAAAAGAGGUGUAUUGUAAAAUGAUAUUAUGUAAUGUGUUCAGAGUUAUAGUAUUGUGCUUGGCCCGAGUUGGAUAAUCCCUUUGUAUAUGAGUUUUACGUUUGAUAUAUAUGUUGGACUGAGUUUGACAUAGGGUAUGCUGACCCUAGGGGUUCUAUGAGUUCAGUCAUAGUGCAUACAUAGGUCAAGCUUGGUAAAGGUAAAGUUUUAAUAUUUUAUGGAAAUGUUUGAUCAUCUAUGGGAUUAUACCAGCUGUACAGAAUGCAUAGUAGGCUUGCUACGGGUCCCGGCGGCCUUAAGCCAAUCUGGAUCCUAGUGCCGGUAGCGGUCCAGUUUCCGGGUCGUUACAGAUUGGUAUCAGAGCCCUAGGUUCACAAGGUCGGACCUAUAGUGUGUCGGGCUCAUAGAGGUUAUAGAAGGGCAAGCACAAUAGGAAAAAUCAUGUCCACUAGGAUAGGAUGUGGAGUCCUGUCUUGCUUGAUGAUGUGAAAUGCCAUGAUGAUAUGCAUGUGCAUUAAGGUUAUGCUAUGUAUGUUGCAGGUUCAUGUGUUUCCACCUGAACCGUAUGAUGAUGCUAAUGUUUGUAUGAUUGUGUGUUGUGGAUUCAUGUGUUCCCGCAUGGAUCAUAUGAUGUUAUGUUUAGUAUGUAUGUUGUGCCUUUUAGAAAGCAGAAUGAGAGGAACUCGUCGAUCUGCACGAUUGACUGGAGCUCAACCAAAGAAUGAGGGCAUGGAUGCCCAUCCCCCUGCAUUGCCAAGGGCAAUGUCAUGUAGAUCAAGCAGAGAAGGUACAUCAAGGGACCCUAGAAGGUCUUUUGAUGCAAGCAGGAGGAGCUCAGUUCAGGGGGGUAUGUCAGAAGAUAUGAGGGGAUCGGGGGAGAAUGACCAGAGAAGAGAUGGAAGCUUGGGCACGAGUAUGUCAGCAGAGGAUAUGGGAGAGUCCCAAGGAGGUACUCAGGCCUCGGGUUUUGUUCCAUCACAGUAUCCACCCUACCCAUAAGGGCCAGGGCGUCCGAUGGGGAAUGCAACAGACUUCUUUAGCUAUAACCCAUAUCCCACCUUUAUGCCCUAUCCUCCCUUUUACCCGCUAUAUCCACAGUAUCCCAUGUUUCCACCCUCACCCUUUUUUCCAGGUACAGCAGACCCUAACCCGGGGAAUGCUGCACCUCCUCCUCCACCAGUAGAACCAGUAACCCCAGUAGUCCAAACACGUAAUCCUAGCUCAUCUGGGGGGAGCAAGGUAAAGAUGACGGACUAUCUGAAGUUGGGUGCUCCCAAGUUUGAGACAGGUGAUGACCCUUUUGAGUAUCUCAGAACGGUAAAGAUGAUAACGGAUGAGUUGGGAGCCAAUAACAGUAGAGCCAUUCAGAUGGCAGGGUUCACAUUGAAAUGCAAGAAGGCAAGGGAAUGGUUCAAAAACUAUGUGGACCCAAGGUUGGAGAGCUUAUCCUGGGAGCAGUUUGCCAAUGAGUUUGCAGGAUGGGCUUUUCCAGAUAGUUCUAGAGAAUUGAAGAUGAUUGAGUUUGAACAGCUGAGGCAAACAGAAGAGAUGAGUGUUGAGGAGUUUACAGAUAAGUUUGUGGAGUUGUUGCCAUAUGUGGGGCAAGCCUAUGAUACGGACCAGAAGAGGGCUAAGAAGUAUACCAUGAGGCUCCAUUCCAGGUAUUCCUCUUUGAUUCAAUCAGUAGGCAGGGAGAGUUUCCAUGCCAUAGUAGAUAUGGCUCGGAAGAUGGAGGCUAGUGCCAUCAUUCAAGGGACAGUUAAGCAGUACGUGGUGGUUCAACAGGCCACCUAUAAAAGACCCUCGGACCGAAAAUGGGCAAGUUUUCUCCCCAUUCUCGAGCUCAAGUGUGUUCAUGUCCUCCUUUGGUUCAUUUCUAGUUAUUUCUUCAAAUCCUUCAUGGUUUUUAUGAGUUUUAGUAUGGGUUUUGAAGUUUUGAGCUUAAAGUUCAAGUUUUGGAGCUUGGAGACUUUGGAGAUUGGAUUCUCCAUACCUUCAAGCUUGGGUCGCACCAACCCUCGAUCUUCAAGAGGUAAGUGUAGAUCUUUAUCUUUUAUGAUGUUUUAAGUAAGUUUUAUGAAGGGUUAAGGGCUAGGAAUGCAUGAGUUGUAUGGAUGUGCAUGUUAAGAGUUUUGAUACCCUUUAUGAGAAAAGUAUGUUAAUGCAUGUUUAUGUGAUGUUUGUUGGGGGUUUAGGCUAGUCUGAGACCCCUAUAUGCUUGUUGUAUGAAUUGUGCAUGUUUUGGAAGUGUUGGAUGUGAGUGUGGGAGGUUUUGGAGGCAGAUUGCAUGAGGUAGAAACGGGUUCUGCCUUGCUGGGGAACCCAGGUUCGGCCGCCGAAAGUGGUUUCGGCUUCUGAACCUGCCUGUAGAAGCAAUCUUUGGCCGCCAAACCUUGCCCCCGAAAAUGGACUUUCGGCUCUGGAAGGGACUUUCGGCCGCCGAAGGUGCCGCCGAAAGUGCCUGACUUUCGUCUCUGGAGCUGACUUUCGGCCGCCGAACCUGCCUCCAAAAGUGCCUGACUUUCGGAUCUGUGGGAGCUUUCGGCCGCCGAAGGUGCCCUGUCCAGCCUUCCUUUGCCUGUUUUGCAUGCAUGUUUUGAGGUGUUUUAGAGGGGUUUUUGGGGAGAUGUUUAGUGUUAUGUUAGAGUUGUUUGGUCCCUCAUUUGAGUCCACCUGUGUAGGAUCGGACCUGAGGAACCGAGGUGGUCAGCAGUGUUAGC